rnacentral:rRNA from 2 species
GACGAACCGUGCGAACGUUGUUCGGAUUCACUGGGCUUAAAGGGCGCGUAGGCGGCUUGGCAAGUCCGGGGUGAAAGCCCCCAGCCCAACUGGGGAAGUGCCUCGGAGACUGCCAAGCUCGAGCGGGAUAGGGGCAGCUGGAACUUUCGGUGGAGCGGUGAAAUGCGUAGAUAUCGGAAGGAACGCCGGUGGCGAAAGCGGGCUGCUGGAUCCCCCCUGACGCUGAGGCGCGAAAGCCAGGGGAGCGAACGGG